UCAUCAGCUCGCGUUGACUAC
rnacentral:siRNA from 1 species